rnacentral:pre_miRNA from 1 species
AUCACCUGGAGAUCUUGUAAAAAUGCAGAUAUUGAUGAACUAAGUCGAGGAUGGAGUUUGAAAUUCUGCAUUUGUAACAAGUUUCCAGGUGCUGCUGA